ACCCGAAGUCCGUGAGGUAACAGCAAUGAGCCAGCGGCCGAAGGUAGGGUCAGCGACUGGGGUGAAGUCGUAACAAGGUAGCCGUAGGUGAACCUGCAGAAGGAUCA
rnacentral:rRNA from 1 species